CCUACGGGUGGCAGCAGUGAGGAAUAUUGGUCAAUGGGCGCGAGCCUGAACCAGCCAAGUCGCGUGAAGGAUGACUGCCCUACGGGUUGUAAACUUCUUUUAUAAGGGAAUAAAGUGAGGCACGUGUGCCUUAUUGUAUGUACUUUAUGAAUAAGGCACGGCUAACUCCGUGCCAGCAGCCGCGGUAAUACGGAGGAUCCGGGCGUUAUCCGGAUUUAUUGGGUUUAAAGGGAGCGUAGAUGGGUUGUUAAGUCAGUUGUGAAAGUUUGCGGCUCAACCGUAAGAGUGCAAUUGAUACUGGCAGUCUUGAGUGCAGGUGAGGUAGGCGGAAUUCGUGGUGUAGCGGUGAAAUGCUUAGAUAUCACGAAGAACUCCGAUUGCGAAGGCAGCUUACUAAACUGCAACUGACAUUGAUGCUCGAAAGUGUGGGUAUCAAACAGGAUUAGAUACCCUUGUAGUC
rnacentral:rRNA from 1 species